rnacentral:rRNA from 1 species
GACAGAGGUGCCAAGCGUUAGGCGGAAUCACUGGGCUUAAAGCGUGUGUAGGCGGAUGUCUAAGUACCUUGUGAAAUCCCACGGCUCAACCGUGGAACUGCUUGGUAUACUGGAUGUCUUGAGCCAUCUAGGGGCUACCGGAACAAAUGGUGGAGCGGUGAAAUGCGUAGAUAUCAUUUGGAACGCCAAUGGUGAAAACAGUCUGCUGGGGGUGUGCUGACGCUGAGACACGAAAGCCAGGGGAGCGAACGGG